UUAAAAUGUUGUUGAAAAAUUCAUGACGCAGGACUGGGGUUAAGAAAUAUGGUCGGAUGAAGAACGUGUAGAUGCUUGAGUUACAGGUUUCAGUGCAUCCACAGCAUCACCAUGAGGCAGUGCAGGACCAUCCCCAGAGCGCAACAUGCCGUCGAAGCAGAAGUCUCUAUACGGCCCCCUCACACAACUGCUUCUCAC